ensembl:lncRNA MYHAS myosin heavy chain gene cluster antisense RNA
UUCUUUCUCUCUUCGCCUGCUGCCGUCCAUGUAAGAUGGGACUUGCUCCUCCUUGCCUUCCACCAUGAUUGUGAGGCUUCCUCAGCCACGUGGAACUAUCCAUAAUGGAUUCCUGGGACAUUUUCAGAUCUCCUUCCAGCUUCCUCUUCGCCCUUUCCAAGUCCGCCCGCAGUUUCUUCUCCUGCUCUAAGGAACCCUCAAGCUGAGAAGACACACAGGAAACAACCCAAUUUGCCAUCUUAAUUUGGAGUCUACUUUUUCUGAAUGACUCAGUUUUCUCUGAUACUUAAUCAAGAUGCAGCCUUGGGGGAAAAUGUCAUGUCCCAGUCUCCCCCAUGUUCCUUUCCCUUCAUCCCACUUUGUCCCCGGGGUCUAGCAUGACUGUGUGUUUGGAUUGGGGAAGUGAAGGCAGGAAAGUCGCUUCCCCAAAUCCGCAUCCACACAGGGUCUUAUGUUAGAGUUGAUGUUAUCUCUAGGCGAGGUUAUGCAAUGUAGUUACAGAGACAUUGUGAUUAGAUUCAAAGAAAAUGAUUUUCAUCAUUGAAGUUUACGCAUGUGCCCAUUUCCUAUUUAUUACAUUCCCUGGCCCAGAGGACAUUAGGCUUUCAUUUUUAAAAAAUGAUCUCAUUAUCUAAUGAAUAAUUAUAUUUCAUAUAUUUUAUUAAUUUAUUAAAUGUAUGCAUUUAAAAUGGCAUAUAAUGUUAAAACUCUAUGUUGGCUACUAUUUAAAAGUAUAUUUACUGGUAAUCUUAAAAAGUGUUA